CUGCCAUGAUUGUGAGGCUUCCCCAGCCACAUGAAAAUAAACUCCAGACUCAGCUGGCAGAGCAGAGAAAAGCAGCUGGACGUCAGAGACUACGGCUGGAUGUUGGAGAGAAGCAGCUUGACUUCAGAGGGACAGUUUGGCAAGACCUUGCCCUCCAACCAACACAGAAGCCAGAAUGAUCUUUCUAAAACUCAAGUAAGUUUCUAUCAUUCCUUUACUAAAAGUCUCCAGUUAUGCCUCAUUUUUUUCAGAAUAAAUGCCAAAGUUCUUAAAAUUUCCAUAAGCCUCUAAUGAUCUGGUUUCUACCUCUCUGACUUCAUCUCCUAUUACUCUCCUUUAAUUAUUUAAUGAUUGUUAAGAAUUGUGUCAUAUAAACCAAAACCUCAGAAAAUAUAUUAUCCUGAAGUAAUAUCAG